CAGUGACAGGAAACUGCCUGAA
rnacentral:miRNA from 17 species